UGGGAAGAUUACAAACCCUGAAAAAUGAAGACUUGGUGGCUUGCAGUUCCUUCUCCUUCUCCAAGAUGAGGUGGUUGGGUUGCUGAAGAAGGUGGUUGGUUUGCUGAUGAAGGUGGUUGGGUUGCAGAUGAAGGUGUUGAGUUGCUGAUGAAAGUGGUUGGGUUGCAGAUGAAAGUGGUUGGUUUGCUGAUGAGGUGGUUGGGUUGCUGAUGAAGGUGGCUGGGUUGCUGAUGAGGUGGUUGGGUUGCUGACGAGGUGGUUGGGUUGCUGAUGAAGGUGGUUGGGUUGCUGAUGAAGGUGGUUGGGUUGCUGAUGAGGACAGGCUGCUGUGAAGUUCUGCUUCAAGGUCUGAUGGUCGUCAAUUCUUCCAAGCCAAAGCCAGGAAUGCCACUUCUACCAUCUGCAUAGGUUGGCACUCACUCAAAC
rnacentral:lncRNA from 1 species